UCUUGGCCAGCCUUCUGAAAGGAAGAUUAAUCCAGGAUGGGAUCAUGAGUUCACAUGUCCGCAUGAUUAAAGGUAUUUUCCGGUAGACGAUGGGGAUGCGUUCCAUUAGAUAGUAGGCGGGGUAACGGCCCACCUAGUCAACGAUGGAUAGGGGUUCUGAGAGGAAGGUCCCCCACAUUGGAACUGAGACACGGUCCAAACUCCUACGGGAGGCAGCAGUGAGGAAUAUUGGUCAAUGGGCGAUGGCCUGAACCAGCCAAGUAGCGUGAAGGAUGACUGCCCUAUGGGUUGUAAACUUCUUUUAUAAAGGAAUAAAGUCGGGUAUGCAUACCCGUUUGCAUGUACUUUAUGAAUAAGGAUCGGCUAACUCCGUGCCAGCAGCCGCGGUAAUACGGAGGAUCCGAGCGUUAUCCGGAUUUAUUGGGUUUAAAGGGAGCGUAGAUGGAUGUUUAAGUCAGUUGUGAAAGUUUGCGGCUCAACCGUAAAAUUGCAGUUGAUACUGGAUGUCUUGAGUGCAGUUGAGGCAGGCGGAAUUCGUGGUGUAGCGGUGAAAUGCUUAGAUAUCACGAAGAACUCCGAUUGCGAAGGCAGCCUGCUAAGCUGCAACUGACAUUGAGGCUCGAAAGUGUGGGUAUCAAACAGGAUUAGAUACCCUGGUAGUCCACACGGUAAACGAUGAAUACUCGCUGUUUGCGAUAUACGGCAAGCGGCCAAGCGAAAGCGUUAAGUAUUCCACCUGGGGAGUACGCCGGCAACGGUGAAACUCAAAGGAAUUGACGGGGGCCCGCACAAGCGGAGGAACAUGUGGUUUAAUUCGAUGAUACGCGAGGAACCUUACCCGGGCUUAAAUUGCACUCGAAUGAUCCGGAAACGGUUCAGCUAGCAAUAGCGAGUGUGAAGGUGCUGCAUGGUUGUCGUCAGCUCGUGCCGUGAGGUGUCGGCUUAAGUGCCAUAACGAGCGCAACCCUUGUUGUCAGUUACUAACAGG
rnacentral:rRNA from 1 species